GAUGAACGCUGGCGGCGUGCUUAAUACAUGCAAGUCGAACGAAGCACCUUGGACAGAAUCCUUCGGGAGGAAGACCAUUGUGACUGAGUGGCGGACGGGUGAGUAACGCGUGGGUAACCUGCCUUGUACAGGGGGAUAACAGUUGGAAACGACUGCUAAUACCGCAUAAGCGCACAGUACCGCAUGGUACGGUGUGAAAAAACUCCGGUGGUACAAGAUGGGCCCGCGUCUGAUUAGCUGGUUGGUGAGGUAACGGCCCACCAAGGCGACGAUCAGUAGCCGACUUGAGAGAGUGAUCGGCCACAUUGGGACUGAGACACGGCCCAAACUCCUACGGGAGGCAGCAGUAGGGAAUAUUGCACAAUGGGGGAAACCCUGAUGCAGCGACGCCGCGUGAAGGAAGAAGUAUUUCGGUAUGUAAACUUCUAUCAGCAAGGAAGAAAAUGACGGUACA
rnacentral:rRNA from 1 species